AUUGAACGCUGGCGGCAGGCCUAACACAUGCAAGUCGAACGAGUGGCGGACGGGUGAGUAAUGUCUGGGAAACUGCCUGAUGGAGGGGGAUAACUAAUGGAAACGGUAGCUAAUACCGCAUACCAUCGGAUGUGCCCAGAUGGGAUUAGCGAGUAGGUGGGGUAAAGGGUUACCUAGGCGACGAUCCCUAGCUGGUCUGAGAGGAUGACCCGCCACACUGGAACUGAGACACGGUCCAGACUCCGACGGGAGGCAGCAUGGGGGAAUAUUGCACUAUGGGCGCAAGGCUGAUGCAGCCAUGCCGCGUGUAUGAAGAAGGCCUUCGGGUUGUAAAGUACUUUCAGCGGGGAGGCGGUACCCGCAGAAGAAGCACCGGCUAACUCCGUGCCAGCAGCCGCGGUAAUUC
rnacentral:rRNA from 1 species